rnacentral:rRNA from 1 species
AGAUUGAACGCUGGCGGCAUGCUUUACACAUGCAAGUCGAACGGUAACGCGGGGGCAACCCUGGCGACGAGUGGCGAACGGGUGAGUAAUACAUCGGAACAUGUCCUGGAGUGGGGGAUAGCUCGGCGAAAGCCGGAUUAAUACCGCAUACGCUCUGAGGAGGAAAGCGGGGGACUCGUAAGGGCCUCGCGCUGCGGGAGUGGCCGAUGUCGGAUUAGCUAGUUGGUGAGGUAAAGGCUCACCAAGGCGACGAUCCGUAGCUGGUCUGAGAGGAUGAUCAGCCACACUGGGACUGAGACACGGCCCAGACUCCUACGGGAGCAGCAGGUGGGUAAUUUGGACAAGUGGGGGC